GACAGAGGUGCCGAGCGUUAGGCGGAAUCACUGGGCUUAAAGCGUGUGUAGGCGGGCCGUUAAGUGUCUUGUGAAAUCCCCCGGCUCAACCGGGGAAUUGCUGGGCAUACUGGCGGUCUUGAGCAAUCUAGGGGCAGAUGGAACAAGUGGUGGAGCGGUAAAAUGCGUAGAUAUCACUUGGAACGCCAACGGUGAAGACAGUCUGCUGGGGAUUUGCUGACGCUGAGACACGAAAGCCAGGGGAGCGAACGGG
rnacentral:rRNA from 1 species